CCUACGGGAGGCUGUAGUGAGGAAUAUUGGUCAAUGGGCGCGAGCCUGAACCAGCCAAGUAGCGUGAAGGAUGACUGCCCUACGGGUUGUAAACUUCUUUUAUAAAGGAAUAAAGUGAGGCACGUGUGCCUUUUUGUAUGUACUUUAUGAAUAAGGAUCGGCUAACUCCGUGCCAGCAGCCGCGGUAAUACGGAGGAUCCGAGCGUUAUCCGGAUGUAUUGGGUUUAAAGGGAGCGUAGAUGGGUUGUUAAGUCAGUUGUGAAAGUUGGCGGCUCAACCGGAAAAUUGCAAUUGAUACUGGCAGUCUUGAGUACAGUUGAGGUAAGCGGAAUUCGUGGUGUAGCGGUGAAAUGCUUAGAUAUCACGAAGAACUCCGAUUGCGAAGGCAGCUUACUAAACAGCCACUGACAUUGAUGCUCGAAAGUGUGGGUAUCAAAAAGGAUUAGAUACCCUGGUAGUC
rnacentral:rRNA from 1 species